AUUGAACGCUGGCGGCAGGCUCAACACAUGCAAGUCGAGCGGAGAGAGGUAGCUUGCUACUGAUCUUAGCGGCGGACGGGUGAGUAAUGCUUAGGAAUCUGCUUAUUAGUGGGGGACAACAUUUCGAAAGGAAUGCUAAUACCGCAUACGUCCUACGGGAGAAAGCAGGGGAUCUUCGGACCUUGCGCUAAUAGAUGAGCCUAAGUCGGAUUAGCUAGUUGGUGGGGUAAAGGCCUACCAAGGCGACGAUCUGUAGCGGGUCUGAGAAGAUGAUCCGCCACACUGGGACUGAGACACGGCCCAGACUCCUACGGGAGGCAGCAGUGGGGAAUAUUGGACAAUGGGCGCAAGCCUGAUCCAGCCAUGCCGCGUGUGUGAAGAAGGCCUUAUGGUUGUAAAGCACUUUAAGCGAGGAGGAGGCUACUUUAGAUAAUACCUAGAGAUAGUGGACGUUACUCGCAGAAUAAGCACCGGCUAACUCUGUGCCAGCAGCCGCCGUAA
rnacentral:rRNA from 1 species